AUUGAACGCUGGCGGCAGGCCUAACACAUGCAAGUCGAGCGAGCGGCGGACGGGUGAGUAAUGUAUGGGGACUGCCCGAUAGAGGGGGAUAACUACUGGAAACGGUGGCUAAUACCGCAUACUAUCCGAUAACCCAUAUGGGAUUAGCUAGUAGGUGAGGUAAAGGCUCACCUAGGCGACGAUCUCUCGCUGGUCUGAGGGGAUGAUCAGCCAUACUGGGACUGAGACACGGCCCAGACUCCUACGGAGGCAGCGUUGGGGAAUAUUGCACAAUGGGCGCAAGCCUGCUGCAGCCAUGCCGCGUGUAUGAAGAAGGCCUUAGGGUUGUAAAGUACUUUCAGCGGGGAGGCGUUACCCGCAGAAGAAGCACCGGCUAACUCCGUGCCAGCCGCCGCGGUAAUUC
rnacentral:rRNA from 1 species